UACGUAGGUGGCGAGCGUUGUCCGGAUUUACUGGGCGUAAAGAGCGCGCAGGCGGCUGGAUAAGUCCGAUGUGAAAGCUCCCGGCUUAACUGGGAAAUUGCAUCGGAAACUGACCGGCUUGAAGGUGGGAGAGGGUAGCGGAAUUCCCGGUGUAGUGGUGAAAUGCGUAGAUAUCGGGAGGAACACCAGUGGCGAAGGCGGCUACCUGGCCCAUUCUUGACGCUGAGGCGCGAAAGCUAGGGGAGCGAACGGGAUUAGAAACCCCUGUAGUCC
rnacentral:rRNA from 1 species